rnacentral:rRNA from 1 species
UGGGGAAUUUUGGACAAUGGGCGCAAGCCUGAUCCAGCCAUGCCGCGUGCGGGAAGAAGGCCUUCGGGUUGUAAACCGCUUUUGUCAGGGAAGAAAUCCUUUGGGCUAAUACCUCGGAGGGAUGACGGUACCUGAAGAAUAAGCACCGGCUAACUACGUGCCAGCAGCCGCGGUAAUACGUAGGGUGCGAGCGUUAAUCGGAAUUACUGGGCGUAAAGCGUGCGCAGGCGGUGAUGUAAGACAGAUGUGAAAUCCCCGGGCUCAACCUGGGAACUGCGUUUGUGACUGCAUCACUCGAGUACGGCAGAGGGAGGUGGAAUUCCGCGUGUAGCAGUGAAAUGCGUAGAUAUGCGGAGGAACACCGAUGGCGAAGGCAAUCCCCUGGACCUGUACUGACGCUCAUGCACGAAAGCGUGGGGAGCAAACA